CAUGGAACAUAGAAUGGUUCUUUUGUUUUAAUAGGACUUGAACGAAACGGAUGACCAUAUAUUGAAUGAU
rnacentral:sRNA from 1 species